GAUGAAGAACGUAGCGAAAUGCGAUAAGUAGUGUGAAUUGCAGAAUUCAGUGAAUCAUCGAAUCUUUGAACGCACAUUGCGCCCUUUGGUAUUCCUUAGGGCAUGCCUGUUCGAGCGUCAUUUAAACCUUCAAGCUCAGCUUGGUGAUGGGCGACUGUCCUCCCCUCGCGGGGGGACUCGCCUCAAAAACAUUGGCGGCCGGUACAUUGGCUUCGAGCGCAGCAGAAACGCGGUCUCGAGCCCGGUGGAUCGGCUCCCAUAAGCCUAUUCUUUUAUUUUGACCUCGGAUCAGGUAGGGAUACCCGCUGAACUUAAGCAUAUCAAUAAGCGGAGGA
rnacentral:misc_RNA from 1 species